rnacentral:tRNA from 1 species
ACCUUCGUGGUGUAGCGGUCAGCACGCUCGGCCCGUAUUCGAGAGGCCCAUGGUUCGAGUCCUGGAGAGGGCA